UCCGUUGUUGUCUAGUCCGGUUAGGAUACCUGGUUUUCACCCACCUGACCUGGGUUCAAAUCCCAGUAACGGAA
rnacentral:tRNA from 1 species